UACGUAGGGUGCAAGCGUUGUCCGGAAUUAUUGGGCGUAAAGAGCUCGUAGGCGGUCUGUCGCGUCGGGUGUGAAAGACCGGGGCUUAACCCCGGUUCUGCAUUCGAUACGGGCUGGCUAGAGUGUGGUAGGGGAGAUCGGAAUUCCUGGUGUAGCGGUGAAAUGCGCAGAUAUCAGGAGGAACACCGGUGGCGAAGGCGGAUCUCUGGGCCAUUACUGACGCUGAGGAGCGAAAGCGUGGGGAGCGAACAGG
rnacentral:rRNA from 1 species